GAUGAAGAACGCAGCGAAAUGCGAUAAGUAAUGUGAAUUGCAGAAUUCAGUGAAUCAUCGAAUCUUUGAACGCCCCUUGCGCUCCUUGGUAUUCCGAGGAGCAUGCCUGUUUGAGUGUCAUGAAUCUCUCAAACUCUUAGUUUCAUUACUGAGUGUUUGGAUUUGGAGGUCUAUGCUGGCGCAAGUCAGCUCCUCUUAAAUACAUUAGCUUGGGUCUUGCAUGUCUGGAUCCUUGGUGUGAUAAUUAUCUACGCCAUGAUGUCCAUUCAAGCCCUGCUUCUAAUCGUCUGAAUAAGACAAUUUAUUACUUGACAUCUGACCUCAAAUCAGGUAGGACUACCCGCUGAACUUAAGCAUAUCAAUAAGCGGAGGA
rnacentral:misc_RNA from 1 species